rnacentral:ncRNA from 1 species
CAAAGGCUUGGUCCUGACUUUACCAUCAGCUUUUACCAAAUCUACACAUGCAAGUCUCCGCCCCCCUGUGAGGAUGCCCUUAAUCCCCUGCCCGGGGACGAGGAGCUGGCAUCAGGCACGCCACGGCAGCCCAAGACGCCUUGCUAAGCCACACCCCUAAGGGAACUCAGCAGUGAUAAACAUUAAGCCAUAAGCGAAAGCUUGACUUAGUUAAGGUAAGCAGGGCCGGUAAAACUCGUGCCAGCCACCGCGGUUAUACGAGAGGCCCAAGUUGAUGAUUACCGGCGUAAAGAGUGGUUACGGAACUUUUAAACUAAAGCCGAACACCCUUUAGGCUGUCAUACGCACCUGAGGGCACGAAGCCCCCUCACGAAAGUGGCUUUACCCCCCCCCCCGAACCCACGACAGCUAUGUCACAAACUGGGAUUAGAUACCCCACUAUGCUUAGCUAUAAACCUUGAUAGAAAAAUACAACUAAUAUCCGCCAGGGGACUACAAGCGCCAGCUUAAAACCCAAAGGACUUGGCGGUGCCCCAGACCCACCUAGAGGAGCCUGUUCUAGAACCGAUACCCCCCGUUCAACCUCACCACCUCUUGUUAACCCCGCCUAUAUACCGCCGUCGUCAGCUUACCCUGUGAAGGUCUCAUAGUAAGCAAAAAGGGUAAAACCCUAAACGUCAGGUCGAGGUGUAGCGUAUGGGGUGGGAAGAAAUGGGCUACAUUCUCUAAUUUAGAGUACACGGACAACACUGUGAAACCAGUGUCUUAAGGUGGAUUUAGCAGUAAACAGAAAAUAGAGAGUUCUCUUGAAACUGGCUCUGAGGCGCGCACACACCGCCCGUCACUCUCCCCAAGUCCGCUUUCCCAAAAUUAACUAAGAAAACAACUGGACUAAGGGGAGGCAAGUCGUAACAUGGUAAGUGUACCGGAAGGUGCACUUGGAACAAC